rnacentral:misc_RNA from 1 species
GUUGUCUCCUCUCUCCACUCUCCUUCUUCUUCCUCCUCCAUCUACUGUAACUCAAUCUCUCCCUCUCUUCGUUACUUUCGACGUUUCUAUACAUUUCCAUCCAGAAGAAAUAAUUCCAACUCCAAUGGCGGUGCGGUCUUGCUCGUCAAGGCUUAUAUGGAUGAGACCACAAAUCCAAUUUCUAGUUUUGCUAAUAAGGUCAUCGGUUCACUGCCUGUUUUUGGUCUCAUAGCCAGAAUUGUUAAUGAGGAAGGUGGUGUUGGAGGCGAUUUUAUUGAUUUUGCGGAGUUCAGGAGGCGAGUCGGUAACAAGUGCUCCAUUAAUGAUUCAAGAGCUUUUUAUGAAUUUCGAGAUCGACGUGGCAAGACAGGGGAUCCUCUGUAUGUGCUACUGUGUUGUUGGUUAGCUGCAGUAGGAGCUGGUUUACUCAAAUCUGAGGAAAUUUUGGAAGGGGUAGCAAGGCUUAGUUUAGCAAAUGAUAUUGAAUUUGAAGAACAAAACUUCAUCGCAAUGAUGAAUGAAGCAAGGGAGAAGCGAUCAAAGUUGGGAGCUCCAGCACCUACAAUCCCCAUGGAAUUUCGUGCUGAGAAAGCUCUUGAAGCUAUACAUGUGUGUUGCUAUGGAAGGGAUCUGAUUGAUGAAGAAGAUGAAAAACUGCUAAGUACCAUGCUUAAUGCUGUCUUUCCUACAGUCGGGCGGCAAAAGGUAGAAAUCAUUGUCAAAGAGAAGGCAAAGAGAAUGGCAGAUGGAACUGAAGAAAUCAAAUAUGAGCCCAAGCAAUUAUCAAAAGAAGCAGUUCAGAUGCAAAUGAAAGACCUUGAAUUUCUUAAGCAAAACAGUUUGAAUCAGUGAGGCAUGAAAUUUAUCAUCAU